rnacentral:rRNA from 1 species
UACGUAGGGGGCAAGCGUUGUCCGGAAUUAUUGGGCGUAAAGCGCGCGCAGGCGGUUAUUUAAGUCUGGUGUUUAAACCUUGGGCUCAACCUGGGGUCGCACUGGAAACUGGGUAACUUGAGUACAGAAGAGGAAAGUGGAAUUCCACGUGUAGUGGUGAAAUGCGUAGAGAUGUGGAGGAACACCAGUGGCGAAGGCGACUUUCUGGGCUGUAACUGACGCUGAGGCGCGAAAGCGUGGGGAGCAAACAGG